GGGGCUAUAGCUCAGUUGGUAGAGCGCCUGCUUUGCACGCAGGAGGUCAGCGGUUCAAGGCCGCUUAGCUCCACCA
rnacentral:tRNA from 1 species